UUUCUUGGAUGAUAAGGUUUCAUGCUUGAAGCUAUGUGUGCUUACUCUCUAUCUGUCACCCCAUCUCCAUCUCUUUCUUUCAAUCCUUUAUUUUCUUCACUUUCUGUUAAUAUAUAUGUAUCUGAUUUUUGUUUUCACUUUCCCUUCAUAUGCUAUAAGUUACCCUAGCUAUAUCCCUUAGGCUCGUGUUGUCAUAUCAUUCAGUAGUAUGCUUUACGGGCAUCUCAUUCCAUGUCUCAGGUAUGUAUUGCUGCUUUCCACAUAUGGAUUAUUCUUUUAUUAGCAUGCAGAUUUGAACUGCAUCAGUUUCCUUAAGAAAAGUAAUUUUACUUCUGUUUUGUCUGAAGUAUGUGUUCGCUUAUAGAGAGUCUAUUUUCACAGAUACAAGUAUCUGUAGCUCUAAUUAGUUGAUGAGUUUUGAUCUUGUAUGCUCUCAGUUAGCCUAAGUUUAAGAGGUUUAUGUUGACUAAUCACUGAAAACAGCUUUAUUUUUGUAUCUGAUGACAGUUUAGAUAUAAGAUUCUACUUAAAACCCAUCCUAAUUUUUUGUUUAUUUUCCUGAAUUUACCAGAUUAAUUGCUAGGGUUUUGGGGAUACUCGGUUAAGAAGAAAAAUUGAUCUGCAAAGGUUGUAAAGGUCUUGUUGAUGAAAUGGAAUGCAGACGGUUGAAAUCCUCCAGAAAAAAAAUUUGAUGGGAAAUUAAAACAACCAUAUGUAUUUCCUAUAUAUUUAGGGUUGAUAAAAAAAAGAAAAAAAAAAAGAGCUAUGGGAAAAAGGGUAUGUCUAAAUGAUAAGUGUCUGCAUGUUUAGUUUUUACCUAAAAUAUGCACAAUCAUGUAAUUGUAAUUAAUACUCUGAUCAAAUAUACAAGCAUCAG
rnacentral:sRNA from 1 species